rnacentral:rRNA from 1 species
AGUGAACGCUGGCGGUAGGCCUAACACAUGCAAGUCGAACGGCAGCACAGUAAGAGCUUGCUCUUACGGGUGGCGAGUGGCGGACGGGUGAGGAAUACAUCGGAAUCUACUUUUUCGUGGGGGAUAACGUAGGGAAACUUACGCUAAUACCGCAUACGACCUACGGGUGAAAGCAGGGGAUCUUCGGACCUUGCGCGAUUGAAUGAGCCGAUGUCGGAUUAGCUAGUUGGCGGGGUAAAGGCCCACCAAGGCGACGAUCCGUAGCUGGUCUGAGAGGAUGAUCAGCCACACUGGAACUGAGAAACGGUCCCGACUCCUACGGGAGGCAGCAGGUGGGAAUAUUGGGCAAUGGGCGGCAGCCUGAUCCAGCCAUACCCCGUUGGUUAAGAAGGCCUUCCGGUUUUAAAGCCCUUUUUUUGGGAAAGAAAAGCAGCAGGUUAAUACCCCGCUGUUCUGACGGUACCCAAAGAAUAAGCACCGGCUAACUUCGUG